CCUACGGGAGGCAGCAGUGGGGAAUAUUGGACAAUGGGCGCAAGCCUGAUCCAGCAAUGCCGCGUGAGUGAUGAAGGCCUUAGGGUCGUAAAGCUCUUUUACCAGGGAUGAUAAUGACAGUACCUGGAGAAUAAGCUCCGGCUAACUCCGUGCCAGCAGCCGCGGUAAUACGGAGGGAGCUAGCGUUGUUCGGAAUUACUGGGCGUAAAGCGUACGUAGGCGGUUAUUCAAGUCAGAGGUGAAAGCCCGGGGCUCAACCCCGGAACGGCCUUUGAAACUAGGUAGCUAGAAUCUUGGAGAGGUCAGUGGAAUUCCGAGUGUAGAGGUGAAAUUCGUAGAUAUUCGGAAGAACACCAGUGGCGAAGGCGACUGACUGGACAAGUAUUGACGCUGAGGUACGAAAGCGUGGGGAGCAAACAGGAUUAGAUACCCUGGUAGUCCACGCCGUAAACGAUGAUAACUAGCUGUUCGGGCACUUGGUGCUUGAGUGGCGCAGCUACGCAUAAGUUAUCGUCCGUGGUAGGUACGGUCGCGAGAGUAAACGUACGAAGAAGUAGUAAGGUGUGAGAGUGCGACGCGACGACGAGGAGGAGG
rnacentral:rRNA from 1 species